AGGCGGCGAAGACAAAAAUGCAUUCCUGAGGAUAGUUAUAUAUAUCUAAAAAUUUUAUUGUUUUGAUGACAUUUGUGCGUGUCAUUUGAGCCUC
rfam:Capsicum annuum cultivar Zunla-1 chromosome 10, whole genome shotgun sequence